AUUGAACGCUGGCGGCAGGCCUAACACAUGCAAGUCGAACGAGUGGCGGACGGGUGAGUAAUGUCUGGGAAACUGCCUGAUGGAGGGGGAUAACUACUGGAAACGGUAGCUAAUACCGCAUACCAUCGGAUGUGCCCAGAUGGGAUUAGCUAGUAGGUGGGGUAAAGGCUCACCUAGGCGACGAUCCCUAGCUGGUCUGAGAGGAUGCCCAGCCACACUGGAACUUAGACACGGUCCAGACUCCUACGGGAGUAAGCAGUGGGGAAUAUGGACCAAUGGUCGCAAGCCUGAUGCAGCCAUGCCGCGUGUAUGAAGAAGGCCUUCGGGUUGUAAAGUACUUUCAGCGGGGAGGCUUUACCCGCAGAAGAAGCACCGGCUAACUCCGUGCCAGCAGCCGCGGUAAUUC
rnacentral:rRNA from 1 species